rnacentral:rRNA from 1 species
CCCUUAGAUGUUCUGGGCCGCACGCGCGCUACACUGAUGCAUUCAACGAGCCUAUCCUUGACCGACAGGUCCGGGUAAUCUUUGAAUCUGCAUCGUGACGGGGAUAGAUUAUUGCAAUUAUUAAUCUUCAACGAGGAAUGCCUAGUAGGCGCAAGUCAUCAGCUUGCGUCGAUUACGUCCCUGCCCUUUGUACACACCGCCCGUCGCUCCUACCGAUUGAGUGUGUUGGUGAGGAGUUUGGAUUGGCCUCGGAAGGUGGUUCGCCACCGUCCGUAGCUGAGAAGUUCUCCAAACCGCCCCACUUAGAGGAAGGAGAAGUCGUAACA